AUAAUGGGUUAGGUAAAUGUUUCAUGAUAAGAAUUUCAUGUCUUUUGUAUUAAAGAAUUAAAUGGAUGAAAUAUGAAGUUUUAUUAAAAGAAAAAGGGGUGAAAAGAAUAAAGUUUUGUCCAUCUUUGUUCAUCAUAGCUGAAAGUUAGAGAAGAGAAAGGAGAGGAGAAAGCUCUUGAGUAUUCGGUCAUUAGGAGGAGGAAAAUUAAAGGUGGUUCGUGUGUGGAUGUCGUCAGCAUAUCGUCGCAAACAGGUAAUCCCCAACCAUAGUGGGCUUG